rnacentral:lncRNA from 1 species
CCCCCCCCCGGAGACUUCCGACCACCUCCUUCCUCCUGGGUCUGAUGGGCAUUGUCUCUUUAUGUUGUAGAUGUGUGUUCAUCCCACCCUCUAGGCUGGGAGCUCUGCCAGGUGAGGGCCGAUGACUGUCUUAUUCUCAGGUUCCCACUAUCAACUACAGUGUUUGGCAUGCAGAAGCUCAAUAAAUGUUUGUUUCAAUGAAAUGGAAACAGAGCUAUUUAGGGCAUGCUGGUAAUGGAAAUAACCCAGCUUGAAAGAUGCUCUGCGCUAGGUUGCAACCACAGGCAGUUCCAGGCUUACUUAGAAGCCCUGAAUUUACCAUCAGCUUCUAGCCAGGGCUACUAGUUACUGGCUGCUCUGGAGGCCACCCCAUGAUUGCCAUGGGAACCAGCCACUCACAAAGCCUCUGGGGCCCCUGCUCUCUGUGAGCCUUCUCAGAUGCUGCCUUGGGAACUGCACAGGUGCUGGCACCUCCAGCCAGUCAACUCCUUAGAGUGACCUUGGGCCAGAAGAUGGGGGCAGGGCCUCAGUGGGGACAGAACCACCCCACCUACAGCUGCUUUUAUAAAUGGAGAAAUGCAUUCAAAGUUCCAAAGCAACCAGCCAGUAAGUGGACUACUGAAGCUCCUGUGAGAUGAAGUGGCUUCACUCUUGGCAGCUAGAAUAAGAAAGGCAAGAGCCAAGAACCAGGUUUACAUUAAAACCUCCUUGGAGAGAAAAAAGGCAAGAGGCCUGCAGGGGUAGCCAGCCAGCAACCGGGUCAGGAGGAUCGGUCAGAGUUACCAGCACCACAGCCUUGCGCGCAUACCGGUGUCUUGUAACAAGAUUGAGAGCUGCAUCUGAACAGCACAUCGUGACAGAACCUCUGUCAUAAUGCCCCCACUGGUCACGAGAAUGUAAACUCCAAGAAGACAGAGGCCUGUUCAUCUUAUUCAACCCAUGUCCCCAGUACCUGGAACAGCACGCAGUACUUACAUGUGGACUGAAUGAAUGAAUGUCUUGCAGAAACUUUCAAAGCUCCAUAAUAUCACCAGGCAGCAAAUCCUCACGAAGACAGCAUAUAUGCAGACUAAUCAUAGUAGCAGAUAUUUACCUGGGGCUUACCACAUGCUGAAACACUUGACAUUUAUAUUUAAUUCUCUUAAUCCUGACAGGGUGGUGAGGAUGGGAAUUCUAUUACAUUAUUCUCCCAUUUUACAGAUAAGGGCAUGGAGCACAGUGGGAAAAGUAGGUUGCCCGUGACCACACAGGGGAUAAGGGGUUGCCUGCCUGCACACAGGCAACGUAACUCCCAACCCUAAGCACUGCUCACUAAGCUGGGCUGCUAACCUCAGAGAAAGCCCCGUCCUGGGACAUAAAGGAGAUCGCGUCCACGCUGGCUUCUGGAAGAUCCACCCUGUGAAGCUUCCGGUUGUCUAUUUUGGUUUCUUUUAUACUGUUUGUUGAGCUCUGGUCAUAUGUUCAACGUCAGGAGGAAAGAGAACCAAUUGUGAUCUGGCAAGAAUUAGGAGAGAGCCAAAGAAAGAAGAUGGAGGCAGCCAAUGAAGACCUCCAACAGAACCACUGUCUUCUGUGUCUGCCCAUUCGUCCAUUUGUUGUUCACUCCACAGACGUUUUUUGAGCACCUAACCACGGCCAGGCACCAUUCCAGGCCCAUUUGUCUAAACACUACAAAGGCACAGGGCAUGGUGGGAGCAUAUGGAGUGCCAAGGCUAGAAGAAGGACGCUGCUUUAUAGGCUCCAUGUGGGUGUCCGGGAGCAGGGUGUUCCAGGCAGUCGGGGCAAGGAGCGUGUCUCGGACGAAGGGAGCAGUGUGGAGGGGCGACGUCAGGGGAAAAGGGAGAGCCUUACAGGUGCUGUAAGGGGUUUGGAUUUUACUCUGAGUGGGCGGGAAGCCAUGGUUUGACUUACGUGUUUAGAGAGUCUGGCUGCUCAGAGACCAUGGGAGCAGAGCAGCUGUGGCAGUGGUUCUGCCCCCUAGUGGGCAGUGGACAAUGUCUGGAGGUGUUUUUGGUUGUCACAACUUGGGGUGGAGGCAUGCGCUCCAGGCAUCUGGUGGAUAGAGGCCAGGGAUGCUGCUAACCGUCCUACAGUGCACACAAAAGCCCCACAACAGAGAAUUACCCAGCCCCGAAUGUCGGUAGUGCUGAGGUUGAGAAAUGCACAGUUAGGGGAUCACUAGAGUGAUCUAGGUGAGAGAUUUACUCAUUAAAUAGCUACUGAGCACCUCCUAUGUGCCAGAUGAUGUACCACGAGCUGAAGAUACCACCACAAACAAAACAGACAAGGUCUGUGUGCUCCCCAAGCUUAUGUUGCAGGGAUGGUGGGAGCUCAGAACAGGAUGCAGGUAGCAGGGUGGUGAGGAUGGUUAGAUUUUCAAAACAUCUUUUGAAGGUGAAACUGACAGGACUUCCUCAGGACUGGAUGUGCAGUGUGAGAGGACGAGGAGUCAAAUUGACCCCAAGGCUUUAGCAAUUAGAACAGGGUUGACACUUACUGAGACGAGGACCACUGGGAGAGAAAAUGAUUUUGGGGGUUGGGGAAAUCAGGGGUUUCGUUUUGGAGAUAUUAAGUGGAGAUGAGGUCAACUGGCUAUUCUAGUUCUAGUCCACUGGUUUAAAGAAAAAGAUCUCUUUUGCAGGAGACAAAAUUUUAGAAAUUGGCAAGUAUGAAGAAGAGCUCUCAGGGAUUCAGUGUAGAUGUAAGAAUAUGGCCAAGAGAUCCUCGCACCAAGCCCGAGCUCUCCACCACGGGAAGCUGGGGAGGAGCAAGCAAGAGAGGAUGAGGUGGCAAGAUCUCCACACUAAUUUCUCCCUCAGGUGUGUGGGGCCUUCUUGGAAGCCAAAUGAAGAAAAUCUUUCAAGAGAAGAAAGUGGUCAAACCAUGCCAAGUAAAUGUUCCUCUACCAGGAAAAAAAAUCUAAAUAUUACCCCAUCCCCAUUUUCCAACACUAUAAAUUGUGAGGCCAUCACAAAACUUGGUCCACUCAUCACUGCCGUAUCUCUUCAGUCUCUCCAGGAGGAAAUACGACAUCCACGGAAGCCUCUGCCACAUCCAAAGAAGGAAUUAAUCCAUCAGUACUCAUUGAGUGUCUACUAUAGUCACAGCACUCUGCUCCUGGUUGAAAAUAUACAAGAGAAAGAUUAAAAGACCCAGUUCAAUACGUCUGUCUGCGGAAGGGGAAAUGAAGCAUCUGCUUGGUGCCUCCAUUAGGAAGAUGACUUACGACAGGCAGCUGUCAGGCAAGGCGUCUGCAUUCUGACGGAGCCGGCUAGACCAUGGAGCUGAAAGCCUUCAAGAAGCCAAUGAAAGUCCCAGAACCUUAGCCCAGCCCUUCCCCACCCGCUCCCCCAGAAGCAACGUGAACAUGGGUGCCCACAUACACACAACUGUGAGAAUAAUUUCAGCGUUUUCGAGCUUCCUCACCCCCAAGGUCCAGACCCGGAUGCCACAUCUAUCAGUUCUGAGCUGUGUGAUGUGGGUGGAAUUACUCGCUGUCCUCCUUUGUAAGAUGGGCAUGCACGAACCACACCCAGCUCAUGGGUUUGUUCUGAAGAUGACAUGAGCAGCUGGAGCUGGAGCCCUGGGCACGGCACCUUGCCCAUACUGGGAGCUGGUCAUUAUUAGCUGGUAUUCUCAUGCCCAGGCCAGGAGUUUAAGAUUCCCCAGUCAAAGAGAAUAAUAUAGGUACUUUACAGUUGAUCAGUGCCAAUUUUUCUUUGAAAUCUACCUUACAGGUUUUCUGGAGUAAUGGUUCAGAGUAUGGAUUUACUUUAUAAUAUCGAUAAUUUACUUUAAAAUGGUUUGACUUUGAGCAAGGGAACACUGAGUUUGUAUUAGCUGGAGCCUCCAGGGUGGUCAGCUGGUGUUAUAUCACAAAGACGUCAGGUCUUCAGAUCACUGAGGCUUUGAAAAUUAACAUCGUGAGCGUCAGAAGUGAGUUUUACUGGUGAAAUGAGAGGCUUGCUAGUCUACAUGAUGAAUAUCGGACAUAGGCUCUCGAUGGCAAAAUCAAAGGUAUUCGAGUGUGGAGGGCUGGGUAAACAUUGUAAAGGCGCUCCCCACGUGUGCAUGAGGCGCUGUAGGAAUCCAGUGAGGCCUGUGGCCAUGGCCACAGGGACGGCACCGAAUGUUGCUGUUGCUUCUGUGAACUUUUCAGACAAGAGGUAGACCCAUCAAGCUCACAGCCGUGUGAACUGUCCUGGGCUUGCUUUCUCAAGGAAUGUUGGCUUAAUAAAAGGCCUGUGUUUGUGGCCGAACUUGGUCUGAGAAUUGCUUUCUUCAUAACGUGAUAAUGAGGUCUGAGUGCAUAACUAACUCUCACCCACCUUAAACAUCUCAGUGCCGUCCUAUAC